rnacentral:rRNA from 1 species
CAGUCGCCGCGGGAAUACGAAGGGGGCUAGCGUUGCUCGGAAUUACUGGGCGUAAAGGGAGCGUAGGCGGACAUUUAAGUCAGGGGUGAAAUCCCAGAGCUCAACUCUGGAACUGCCUUUGAUACUGGGUGUCUUGAGUGUGAUAGAGGUAUGUGGAACUCCGAGUGUAGAGGUGAAAUUCGUUGAUAUUCGGAAGAACACCAGUGGCGAAGGCGACAUACUGGAUCAUUACUGACGCUGAGGCUCGAAAGCGUGGGGAGCAAACAGGAUUAGAUACCCCAGUAGUCCCUGUCUCUUAUAA